rfam:Gossypium raimondii chromosome 2, whole genome shotgun sequence.
AUUCCGUGAUGAGGGCAAAUCUGUAAUAAUUCUUUGUACAUUUCCCAUGCCUCAUACAAGGACUCGUCAUCCAUUUGUUGGAAAGCAGUGAUCUUUUUCCUCAAUUU